rnacentral:rRNA from 1 species
UACGUAGGGACCAAGCGUUGUCCGGAAUCAUUGGGCGUAAAGAGCGUGUAGGCGGCUUGUUAAGUCUUGCGUGAAAUCUCGGGGCUCAACCCCGAGCGGUCGUGAGAUACUGGCAGGCUAGAGUGCGGGAGAGGAGAGUGGAAUUCCUGGUGUAGCGGUGAAAUGCGCAGAUAUCAGGAAGAACACCCGUGGCGAAGGCGGCUCUCUGGAACGCAACUGACGCUGAGACGCGAAAGCGUGGGGAGCAAACAGG